rnacentral:rRNA from 1 species
UACGUAGGGUGCGAGCGUUAAUCGGAAUUACUGGGCGUAAAGCGUGCGCAGGCGGUGAUGUAAGACAGGUGUGAAAUCUCCGGGCUUAACCUGGGAACUGCAUUUGUGACUGCAUCGCUGGAGUGCGGCAGAGGGGGAUGGAAUUCCGCGUGUAGCAGUGAAAUGCGUAGAUAUGCGGAGGAACACCGAUGGCGAAGGCAAUCCCCUGGGCCUGCACUGACGCUCAUGCACGAAAGCGUGGGGAGCAAACAGG